ACGGGUGAGUAAUACAUCGGAACGUGCCCUGUAGUGGGGGAUAACCAGUCGAAAGAUUAGCUAAUACCGCAUACGACCUGAGGGUGAAAGUGGGGGACCGCAAGGCCUCAUGCUAUAGGAGCGGCCGAUGUCUGAUUAGCUAGUUGGUGAGGUAAAGGCUCACCAAGGCGACGAUCAGUAGCUGGUCUGAGAGGACGAUCAGCCACACUGGGACUGAGACACGGCCCAGACUCCUACGGGAGGCAGCAGUGGGGAAUUUUGGACAAUGGGCGAAAGCCUGAUCCAGCAAUGCCGCGUGUGUGAAGAAGGCCUUCGGGUUGUAGAGCACUUUUGUCCGGAAAGAAAUGGCUCUGGUUAAUACCUGGGGUCGAUGACGGUACCGGAAGAAUAAGGACCGGCUAACUACGUGCCAGCAGCCGCGGUAAUACGUAGGGUCCAAGCGUUAAUCGGAAUUACUGGGCGUAAAGCGUGCGCAGGCGGUUGUGCAAGACCGAUGUGAAAUCCCCGAGCUUAACUUGGGAAUUGCAUUGGUGACUGCACGGCUAGAGUGUGUCAGAGGGGGGUAGAAUUCCACGUGUA
rnacentral:rRNA from 1 species